GAUGAACGCUGGCGGCGUGCUUAACACAUGCAAGUCGAACGAUGAAGCCCAGCUUGCUGGGUGGAUUAGUGGCGAACGGGUGAGUAACACGUGAGUAACCUGCCCUUGACUCUGGGAUAAGCCCGGGAAACUGGGUCUAAUACCGGAUAGGAGCGCCUGUCGCAUGACGGGUGUUGGAAAGAUUUUUCGGUCAUGGAUGGACUCGCGGCCUAUCAGCUUGUUGGUGAGGUAAUGGCUCACCAAGGCGACGACGGGUAGCCGGCCUGAGAGGGUGACCGGCCACACUGGGACUGAGACACGGCCCAGACUCCUACGGGAGGCAGCAGUGGGGAAUAUUGCACAAUGGGCGGAAGCCUGAUGCAGCGACGCCGCGUGAGGGAUGACGGCCUUCGGGUUGUAAACCUCUUUCAGUAGGGAAGAAGCGAAAGUGACGGUACCUGCAGAAGAAGCACCGGCUAACUACGU
rnacentral:rRNA from 1 species